AAUGAACGCUGGCGGCGCGCCUAAUACAUGCAAGUCGAGCGAGAAGACGUAGCAAUACGUUUGUAAAGCGGCGAACGGGUGAGGAAUACAUGGGUAACCUACCCUCGAGUGGGGAAUAACUAGCCGAAAGGUUAGCUAAUACCGCGUACGCUUCUUGGACUUCGGUUCAGGGAGGAAAGCGAUACCGUGGGUAUCGCGCUCUUGGAUGGGCUCAUGUCCUAUCAGCUUGUUGGUGAGGUAACGGCUCACCAAGGCUUCGACGGGGUAGCUGGUCUGAGAGGACGAUCAGCCACACUGGCACUGCGACACGGGCCAGACUCCUACGGGGAGGCAGCAGUAAGGAAUAUUGCGC
rnacentral:rRNA from 1 species